AAGUCGUAACAAGGUUUCCGUAGGUGAACCUGCGGAAGGAUCAUUAACGAAUAACUAUGGUGUCUUGGUUGUAGCUGGCUCCUCGGAGCAAUGUGCACGCCCGCCAUUUUUAUCUUUCCACCUGUGCACCGACUGUAGGUCUGGAUACCUCUCGCCCUAGGGCGGAUGCGAGGGUUGCUCGUAAGGGCUCCCCUCGAACUUCCAGGCUCUACGUCUUUUUACACACCCCAAUAGUAUGAUGCAGAAUGUAGUCAAUGGGCUUCUCAGCCUAUAAAACACUAUACAA
rnacentral:misc_RNA from 1 species